rnacentral:rRNA from 1 species
AUUUAUUAUUAUUUUAAUUUUAUAUUAUUAUUUAAUUAUUAAAUUAAUAGAAAUAACUUAUUUUUUAGUAUAUUUUAUAGAAUCAAUUAUUUAUUAUUUAUAGUUAAUUUUACUGUGAAGGAUAAAUUUUUGUUAAUUAAAAAGUAGAAUUUAUUUUUUGUACCUUUUGUAUCAGGGUUUAUCAAAAGUUUUUAUUUAUUUUAAAUAUCCCGAAAUUUUAAGAGAUAUAAAUUAUUGUUAUUUAAUGUGUCAAAAUUAUUAAUAAAUUAUUUAUAGGUGUUAUAUGCUAUUCAUUUUUAAAUAUCUGGUUCUUUAAUAGUUGAAUUUAAUUCAGGAUUAAUAUAUUCAUUAUUUUAAUUUUAUUGAUUAUGCUAAUUAUUAAUCUAAGAUUAAAGGGGAUAAGCUCUUUGAUUAUAAACUAUACUCCAUUAGAUCAAAUACUUACAGUAGGAUUAGAAAUUUCCAUCAAAUAUUUUGUUAUAAUUACAUUUAUUAUGGUUUUUAUUUAUUAAUAGAGGUUAGAUUUAUAUUAAAGAUUAUUAAUAAGUAAUUGAUUAAUAGUUAUAAUGUUAAAAUUAGUAGAAUUGUUAAUUGGUGUAUAGUAAUUCGGCAAUUUUAUUUCUCACCUGUUUAACAAAAACAUGGUUUGAUGUUUAUAUUUAUUAGAUUUGGCCUGCUCAAUGAUUUUUAAUUAAAUAGCCGCAGUAUUUUGACUGUGCGAAGGUAGCAUAAUCAUUUGUCUUUUAAUUGAAGGCUUGAAUGAAUGGUUGGAUGAGGAAAUGGCUUUCUUUAUGUUAAUAAUUUGAAUUUAAUUUUUUAGUUAAAAAGCUUAAAUUUUUAAAUGGGACGAGAAGACCCUAUAGAAUUUUAUUUCUGAUUAAUAUUGAAUUUUUUGGUUAAUUAUUAUUUUUAGUUAAUUAGAAAUUUUGUUGGGGCGACAGUGAGAUUUUUUUAACUCUCAUAAUUUAUAAUUUAUUUAUGAUUAUAUUAAAGAUCCUUUGUUAUGGAUAUUUAGAUUAAAUUACCUUAGGGAUAACAGCGUAAUUUUUCUGGAGAGUUCUUAUCGAUGGAAGAGUUUGCGACCUCGAUGUUGGAUUAAAAUUAGAGUUAAGUGCAGUAGCUUAAUAUCUAGGUCUGUUCGACCUUUAAAUUUUUACAUGAUCUGAGUUCAGACCGGCGUAAGCCAGGUCGGUUUCUAUCUUUUUAUUAAAUAUGUAAUUUAGUACGAAAGGACCAUUUACAUCAAAUAUUUUGUUGAAUUAUUGAAUAUCUUUAA